CUCUUCUCUGUUCUCUCUCGGCCUCUGCCUCUUCUUCUCUCUCGUCCUCUGCCUCUUCUUGAUUUGCGGUAAAACUAGCCUGCACGCGGUCAACUGGAUAUACAGUUGGUGAGCCGAGCUGCCACGAGGAAGGCGCUGAGAGAGAGGAGAGAAGA
rnacentral:pre_miRNA from 1 species